CUCUGCGGCCCUGCUCGAUCAGUGAUCGUCCUUUUGGUGCUUCGAAUCCCCUGCCUCAUAGUUGCCCGGAGGCUUCUGCCCGCAGGGCCAAACAACCAUUGUAUUACAUUCGACCCGUUCUGAACAUUGUUUCCUGAAUGGAUCUCUUGGAUCUUAAAAGUUUCAACAACGGAUCCAACGGAUCCCGUAGUGAGAAUUGCAACACGAAAGGAGCACGUCUUUGAACGUGUAUAGCUCUCAGAAUCUACACCGCUGAGAACGCCCGUUUCGCCCUCUGGGCUUCCGGGGGGUAUGCCUGUUUUUUGAAUUGGAGAUAUGAUCCUCUAUUUUGGGCGUCGGGGAAUAACCACCGCUUAAAGUGAAGGCCAAAAAUGCUAUUACUUGACUUGGUUUAAUCGACUCUGGUCCAGGUUUCCCUCUGACCCUCUAGAUUGCCCGGCCGGCGCUUUUUCGUUUGGUGUUUGCUUUCCCUUAGACCAAGCAUCACCUUUGCAGACCUUGAACUGAUAACCAGAGCGAUUACCCGAUGAACUUAAGCAUAUCAGUAAGAAAAGGAA
rnacentral:rRNA from 1 species